GACGAACGCUGGCGGCGUGCUUAACACAUGCAAGUCGAACGGUGAAGCGCCUUCCUUUUUGGUGGGUGUGGAUGAGUGGCGAACGGGUGAGUAACACGUGAGUAACCUGCCCCCUUCUUCUGGAUAACCGCAUGAAAGUGUGGCUAAUACGGGAUAUUCUGGGUCUGUCGCAUGAUGGGUCUGGGAAAGAUAUUGUUUCGGUGGGGGAUGGGCUCGCGGCCUAUCAGCUUGUUGGUGGGGUGAUGGCCUACCAAGGCGGUGACGGGUAGCCGGCCUGAGAGGAUGGACGGUCACACUGGGACUGAGACACGGCCCAGACUCCUACGGGAGGCAGCAGGGGGGAAUAUUGCACAAUGGGCGCAAGCCUGAUGCAGCGACGCCGCGUGAGGGAUGGAGGCCUUCGGGUUGUGAACCUCUUUCGCCAGUGAAGCAGGCCUGCCUCGUUUGUGGGUGGGUUGACGGUAGCUGGAUAAGAAGCGCCGGCUAACUACGUG
rnacentral:rRNA from 1 species